AUGUUUCUCAUGAAUGCUCCUCCAGUGGUUGCUCUCCAGCGCAAAUGGGUGGCCUCUGUCCCACCAGGGAGCUUUAGGUUCCCCGGGUGCUUCUCGGAGGCUGACAAGGGCGUGGAGAGCAUGUCGGUGAGCACCCGGGUGCAGAUGCUCAUCAGCACGCUGCAGAGCGACAGGGCUGCUAGGGGCACCAGCGAUGAGCGCACUGCGCAGAGGGGGCAGAGGGAUGCCACGACGCCAGGCCUGCUGCCAAGCCCACCAUGCACAAGGAGCUGCCUGCGUUGGCUGCCUGUGGUCUUGUUGCUGACUUUGACCCCGUGGGGGAGGAGGAAACUGCAGACUUUGGCCCAUUGGUGCUAGAUUCAGACAGUGACGAUUCCGUGGACCGGGACAUUGAGGAGGCCAUCCAGGAGUACCUGAAGGUAAAGAGUGGAGCCGCACAGCCCGGGGCCAGCGGGGCCCAGCCAUGCACAGCCUUCCAGGGCUGCAGGCGGAGGCAGUAGAUGUAAGCCGGAACUGGCUCACAGCAGUGCCCAACUGCCCUGUGUUCCCCAAAACUUGUACCUGGCUCAGGUGGUGUGGCCCUGGCAGCCAGGUGGGAUCCAGCAAGGACCAGGGCUCUGCCUCCCCAGUCAGCAUGAGCAGAGCAGACUCCUUUGAGCAGAGCAUCAGGGCAGAAAUCGAACAGUUUCUGAAUGAGAAAAGACAGCAUGAGAACCAAAAAUGUGAUGGGUCAGUGGAGAAGAAACCAGACACACAUGAAAAUUCGGCGAAGUCACUCUCGAAAUCCCACCAAGAGCCGGCUACAAAGGUGGUGCACCGGCAGGGCCUGAUGGGCGUCCAGAAGGAGUUCGCCUUCUGCAGACCUCCCCCGGUUAGCAAAGACAAACGUGCAGCCCAGAAGCCUCAGGUCCAAGGUCACGACCACGCAGGAGAAGGAGGGCAGCACAAAGCCAGCAACCCCCACCGCCCUUCAGAAGCAGUACAGAAUAAAAGUGGGAUUAAAAGGAACGCCAGCACCGCAAGGAGGGGAAAGCGAGUCACGAGCGCCGUACAGGCGCCCGAGGCGUCCGACUCCAGCAGCGACGACGGCAUUGAGGAGGCCAUCCAGCUGUACCAGGUGCAGAAAACACGCAAGGAGGCCGACGGGGACCCGCCCCAGAGGGUCCAGCUCCAAGAGGAAAGAGCACCUGCCCCUCCCGCACACAGCACAAGCAGCGCCACAAAAAGUGCCUUGCCAGAGACCCACAGGAAAACACCCAGCAAGAAGAAGCCAGUGCCCACCAAGACCACGGACCCUGGUCCAGGGGAUCUGGACGCUGACCAUUCCCCCAAGAUCCCAAAGGAAACCAAAGCUCCACCUCCAACGAGCCCGGCUUCCAGGAGCAAGUUUGUGGAAUGGUCCUCUUGCCAGGCAGACACCUCCGCUGAGCUGAUGUGUGUAGAAGCAGUCCUGGACAUUUUCAAGACGAUCCUGCCGGCCCUAUGGAGGGCAGCGAUGGGUCCCUGUCCGCAAGCCCACUCUUCUACUCCCCCAACGUGCCUUCCCGCUCUGAUGGUGACAGUAGCUCCGUGGACAGCGACGACAGCAUUGAGCAGGAAAUCUGGACGUUUUUGGCCCUCAAGGUGCAGUCUAGAAGUUUGCUGGCCAGAGGUGAGAGCUGCCCUCAGGCUGCCCAGGGCCCACUUUCACCACCUGGCCUCAGCAGCCAGACCGGCAGCCCCAAGGCCCCUCUCUCUAAAACACUGGACCCACUCCUGGCUGCAAAAGGAAGCAUAGAGGCGGCUGCCAAGUGAGGCCAUCCACUCCCAAGAACAUGCGGGUGGUGGGGAAAGAGGGUGGCCAGGAUGCCGACCGCAGCCAGGGGAGAGCCGGGCCGGGCCAUGAGGGGCGGGACCUUUCCAUCCAGGGCACAGCCAGCGAGGCCCCGGGAGGAGAGGGCGCCGCUAGGGUGCCCGGUGACACUCGCACGUCACAGGGCCAGGGUAAGACAGACGAGGCAAGGCACCUAGACAAGAAGAAGAGCUCCGAAGACAAAAGCAGUUCCCUGGACAGUGACAAGGACCUGGACACAGCCAUCAAGGACUUGUUAAGGUCCAAGUGAAAGCUCAAGAAGAGGUCCAGGGAGCCCAGGGCUGUGUGCAGGAAGAAGGUCAGGUUCAGCACCUCCCAGACGCACUUCCAGGAGCAGCUGGGCAGGCUCCUGAGAGAGUGGAAAAACAGGCACCUGCAGGUGCUGAAGAGCUGCCUAAGUCCAAGAGAGACAGCUGCGAGGGCUCCAGGAAGAAACCCCCCAGUGUCUUUGGCAGCAGGGCCGAGAGGACGAAGCCCCGGCCUUCCUGGUGAGGAGACCCGCUUCUGCCUCCGCCUCCGAAGAGAAUCUAUUCCCCAGAGAGUCCCAGGGCCCAGCUCCCAGCCCUGGCUCCUUGUCUGACAACAGCAGUUCAGUGGACAGCGACGAUAGCAUCGAACUGGAGAUUAGGAAGUUUUUGGUGGAAAAGGCCAAGGAGUCGGUGAGCAGUUCAGAAGUUCAGGCAGAGGGCCCCACCGCUCUCGGGACAGGGGGCCCAGCCAGGCCAGAGGUACCUUGCAGGAAGGAGCCGGCCCCACUGCCUGGCAUGUGCACACGGAGCCAGAGGGCCGGGGGGUCCCACAUUUGGCUAAAGGGCAUCGAGGCGCAGGGAGCGCAGGAGCACAGGGCGCAGCGUGCCUGCUCAGCCAGGGUGGGAAGGGGCUCCCCACUGAUCCGGCGGAGGGGAUCAUGCGCCACCCAGGAGGACCAGCGGCAGUGUCUCCGCCAAGGUCUCUCAGUGAGCAAGAGAAAUGUUUACGUUUACAAAGACCAGAGCCCACGAGGGGCUGAGCCUGCUGCCAAAAGUGCUUUUGGUCAGCGGCCCAGCUGUGCCACAGCGGGCACCGAGGCAGGAGGAGCCAGGGGGACCUUUCACGUGGACUGCAGGAACCGGAGCUUCCUGACCCCCAGCCCGGGAGCUGAGAGGGAUGCUGGAGCCCAGGCCAACCGCGCCCCGCCCUGGAGUGACUUUGCCCACCACAGUCGGCUGCCCAGCCCAUGGGCACUGCGCUCCAAAGGUAGAGAUGCGGCGUGGAGGGGGCGGCAUUGGGAGAGAGAGACAAGGGGUCCGAGGGCCCCGCCCGGGGCCUGCCCAGCCUGCCCCUUGCGGGCUUCUCCCCGCUGCUGUCCACCCAGCUCUUCCACUUUGGAAAGGGUGUCUCCUGGGGGGGCAGGGAGACCGGCCUCUUCAGCCCCUACCUGGGGCUGCCUCUGCAGGGCCUGUCCUUCUCGGCCUUCAGGGAGUCCCAGGCCAGGCCCAGCCCUGUCUUUGGAAGCCCACACUUGCUGGCGAAGAAGGACUGCGAUCACCGGCCAAGCAGGAAGGUACAGACGGGGCUGAGUUUGCACAACAGGAAGAGCUCUGGCUCGGAGGAAAGGAUUUUAGACCUGAGGUAUCCACGAAGGGUCAAUCAGUAGAGUUGACCAGGACCAGGACACCUUGGGCAGGGACACCAGUGACUUCAGCGACACCUCCGCAGAGGUGUUGCUGCUGCAGUGGCGGCAGCUCAGUAGUGAAGGUAUAA
rnacentral:lncRNA from 1 species